rnacentral:rRNA from 1 species
AACGAACGCUGGCGGCAUGCCUAACACAUGCAAGUCGAACGAGACCUUCGGGUCUAGUGGCGCACGGGUGCGUAACGCGUGGGAACCUGCCCUUAGGUUCGGAAUAACUCCCCGAAAGGGGUGCUAAUACCGGAUAAUGUCUUCGGACCAAAGAUUUAUCGCCUUUGGAUGGGCCCGCGUUGGAUUAGCUAGUUGGUAGGGUAAAAGCCUACCAAGGCGACGAUCCAUAGCUGGUCUGAGAGGAUGAUCAGCCACACUGGGACUGAGACACGGCCCAGACUCCUACGGGAGGCAGCAGCGGGGAAUAUUGGACAAUGGGCGAAAGCCUGAUCCAGCAAUGCCGCGUGAGUGAUGAAGGCCUUAGGGUUGUAAAGCUCUUUUACCCGGGAUGAUAAUGACAGUAACGGGAGAAUAAGCUCCGGCUAACUCCGUG